rnacentral:rRNA from 1 species
UAGUAAUGGCAGGUCAGCAUACUGCCGUGAAUACGUUCCCGGGCCUUGUACACACCGCCCGUCACACCAUGAGAGUUGGAGAUACCCGAAGCCUGUGAGCUAACAAACGAGGCAGCAGUCGAAGGUAGAAUCAAUGAUUGGGGUGAAGUCGUAACAAGGUAUC